rnacentral:lncRNA from 1 species
AAUGACUCAUCAUAGCAUAAUGCUUCGAAUUACAAUAAAGAGUAAGUAAUAAUAUUACAGACUAGAGUCAUUUACAUAAUAUAAAUCAAAGUACACAGAAUCAAAACGUAGCCAACGUAAAUAAACCCACCACAGGCAGCUGACUGGGGGAGGUCGCUAGCCUAAUCCUCGAACUCAUCGAAGUCCUGGAACUCCCGGAGAUUCGCCUCGACACCAUUCUCCUUCUUCUUUACCUGAGCAUAGAUUGCACCAAAGACAACCUGGUGAUUUGUGAAAGCAAGGGUGAGUACACAUCAACGUACUCAACUAAUGUCCUGUUUGGCUGUAGUGGACUAGCUUUAUGUGGAGUUAAGUCAAGCAGUUGCUUUUAGUUGGUCAGGUUAUUAUUACUAGUAGAAAGCCAGGUUUUAGCGUUAACCCAAGUUAUUAACUCAAAGUACCCUUUCCAAAUGGAAAGAAUACCACUUACCAUUACCAUAGUCAUAAUCAUAACCAUUAUCCUCAUCACCACCUGAAAACCAUACAUCUCUGAUCAAGUAUCUCUAAUCAAUGGAGCUCCCUUGGCCGCUCAUAACCGCGAGCACGGCUGAUAUAUCAGUUUCAUAACACUCUGCAGAGGUUGCGCACUUUACCCACAAGUCGUGAUUCCCUCUUGCCUCGGGCCGAUCAAACCCUUAAACACUACCAAGGUGAAUAGGCAGUGUCUCACUAUGUAGCCUUUACAAAGAUUCCCCAGGGUUGUAGCCGCCCGUUAGGUUUCCUAAAUGCACCGCACUCCUCCCGAAGGGGCGAACCGAACUUGGCAGAGCGAGCCGCAUACACCGAGCCCCAUUAACGGCACGAUGGCUAAGCGAACUACUCUCCGGUUCCUCUAAUUAUUCAGCUAAGGGCAUCCCAUUCCACCCUCAUGGUUGCACUGUUUUCUCGGACGGUCAUCCAACGAACAGGUCCUUACGGAGAGGCACUCGAGAAACCGCUCGAGCCCCCUAAAGUAUCACCAGUCCAACAUCAUAAUCAUAAUGACAACAUCAUAUCAUAAGUGUUCACAUCAUGUUCAUUGAUUAAAGUAAAGCAAUAGCAUGAAUCUAACCAUAGUAGCCCAAAAGGUAAUCAAGGACCAGGUAAAUAGAAAGCUAGUCAAUACUUAGGUUGUUCAUAGUAUGCGGGACAGUGAAUUAUAAAGUAAAUGGGACAUAAUGGGUCAGAGGACACUUGCCUUCACCAAACAGAUGCUCAGGAUCUUCGAUCUCGUAGAACUCGAAGAGUUCGAUCACUUGGUCGCCAAAGCUUGACCGUCGAUUCCUCGAAGCUCAGAAACGAAUCACGAUCUAAUCGCACGCGAAGCGAAGAUGAACAGGCACAAGCAAACAAACAUAUACAUAUACAUAAAAACAUUACACCAUACAAGAUAAGAUGUUAUAAAAGCGAGCAAUAUAAAAUAGAGAGCGCUUCUACGAUUAUGCGAGGAAAAGAACAGCAAUAGUCGAAGUUACAGUCGAGGGGUUAGCGUGUUUAUACUAAGCAAGUAUUAGUUAGAAUAUUUAAUUCGACAUUUCUCAAAUAUAAAUUAUAACUACUAUUUAAUCUCGAUUAGUCUACUACUCUAACUGCUUGUCAGUUAAAUAAGCAAAUUAAAUAACAUCAGCGACCCUAAGUGAGACAAAUUCACGGCGCGCAAAAUAGCACUACAUAGUGCAGAACGACGCGUGGACACGAGCGACAUAGCACGCUCAUGACACAUGAAGCAGUGCGCACGACUAGCGUGAACGACGCGCGAACCAGCACGCCACCACGUGCGGAACAGCACGCGCGACAGGCGAGAAACUAAAUAGGUGACACAUUUGUACUAAACAAAUAUUAAAUAAAUAAAAAGUAAUUAAGUUAAUAUUAGCCAUGUUAACGUUUAUUAUAAAAGUGCAAGUUGAACCCUACACAUUCUAUCUAAUUAGAAAGUUAAUCUAAUAAAUAUUAGUCGAGCAAACCUUAAGUUAAUUAUCUAAAAUAUGUGAUCCGACGAAUUAACGUUAUUAACAUGAGUGUUUAUAAGCAAAAACAAUUUAUUAUCACGCGCAGAUGUCUCGCGACACACGCGAACAGCACGACGACGGCGAGCGCAACACACGCGAAUAACUCGUAAUCAGCGCGCGCGACACACGAGCACCACUAACAGAUGUCGUGAUUAUACUAAACAAGUAUUAAUUCAAAAUCAUCUGUGUUGACAUUUAUCACAUUAAUUUGUAUUUAUAAAAGCGUAAAUUUAAACUAUAACUUAGUUUUUAUUAGAUCUCUAUUUUAAUAAUCGAAGAUUAAACCAAUAAUUAGUUAACUACAUGAAACAUGUGUUACGAUAAAUUAAUAUUUUUAACGUGUACAUGACAUUAUUGUGAAGCUAACGAAACUGCAACGAAAUAAAUCGGACGUCUAACACAUAAGGUAACUCGUAUUUAAUAACGUCCGGAUUUAAUGCAGUGGCGCAAUAUGACUGGUUAGAGCCAAGCCACACAGAGGCUUACGAAGUCGCGGAUGCAGUAGAUCAUGCAAAAAGAAGAUGCAUGCCAUGCGAUGGGGUCGAGGCGGUUUCCACUUUUCAGGAUGCUAAUCGUGUGCAUGGCGUGAGAAAUGUGUGGGAGACAUGCAUGCGGGCCCCCGAGCGGUUAUCAGCUACGAGCCUAUGACGAGCAGCAGGUUUCUCUUCCUCCUUCCAUCGGCUAGGACGAGCACGCAUGCACAAAGGCGAUGGGGAAGUGCUGCUCCAGCCGAGGCUAGCAGGCGGGGCGGGUGGCACUGGCCCGGUGGCCAUGGCCGGACAGCGCGACGGCUCUAGUCGGACUCUGGCGGGGCUAGACGUUGACGCGAUAGCAGCGUCCAUGGCCGUUGGGCUCGCCGCACAUGGUCAGCGGAGGCAUGGGGCAGCACGUCUACGACGACUCCACGCGUAGGGGCCAGACGCCUAGGCGCGCUGGCUGUCCGCCGCGUCGCGCCCUGCGCAGGAGCCGCGCAUCGGAGGGAAAGGGAGCCGUGCAGGGGCUCGUCGGGAGGAGACGAACUGCUCGGUAGGGGGCAGAGAGGGGAGGGAUGAGGUGGGAAGGGAAAGCGGACUCACCACGACGGAGUUCGACGGCGAGUACCAUUCGGCGCGGACGGCGCUCUCGGCGACUCCAACUGCACGGCGACGAGCGAGAGAGAACCAGGGUGAGAGAAAUUGGCAUGAGAGAAACCGACGAGACGUGGGGAGGAAAUGGGGACGAGAGAAGGUGGAGACUUAGUG